rnacentral:rRNA from 1 species
UACGGGGGGGGCAAGCGUUGUUCGGAAUUACUGGGCGUAAAGGGCUCGUAGGUGGCCAACUAAGUCAGACGUGAAAUCCCCAGGCUUAACCUGGGAACUGCGUCUGAUACUGGAUGGCUUGAAUUCGGGAGAGGGAUGCAGAAUUCCAGGUGUAGCGGUGAAAUGCGUAGAUAUCUGGAGGAAUACCGGUGGCGAAGGCGGCAUCCUGGACCGGCAUUGACGCUGAGGAGCGAAAGCUAGGGGAGCAAACGGG